rnacentral:rRNA from 1 species
AGGGCGUACGGGGGAUGCCUAGGCUCUUGGAGGCGAAGAAGGACGUGUUAAGCUGCGAAAAGCUGCGGGGAUUUGCAAAAGAGAGUUGAUCCGCAGAUAUCCGAAUGGGGCAACCCGGCAGAUAGGAGAUCUGUCACAUCGAGAGAUGAGCGAACCCUAUGAACUGAAACAUCUAAGUAAUAGGAGGAGGAGAAAGAAACAUCGAUUUCCCGAGUAGUGGCGAGCGAAAAGGAAAUAGCCCAAACCGGUGUUGUUACGGCAACGUCGGGGUUGUAGGACUGCGAAAUCUUAAUACGAACGAACGGGAACAUGCUGGAAAGCGUGACCAUAGAGGGUGAAAGUCCCGUACCGGUAAGUUGUGUAAGCGGAAGCAGUAUCCUGAGUAUGGCGGGACACGAGGAAUCCUGUCAGAACCCGCGGGGACCACCCCGCAAGGCUAAAUACUCCCAAGAGACCGAUAGUGGACCAGUACCGUGAGGGAAAGGUGAAAAGUACCCCGAACAGGGGAGUGAAAAAGAACCUGAAACCGUACGCUUACAACCUGUCGGAGCGGCUUAGUGCCGUGACGGCGUGCCUUUUGCAUAAUGAGCCUACGAGUUACUAAUCACUAGCGAGGUUAAGGGCUAUAAGGUCCGGAGCCGAAGCGAAAGCGAGUCUGAAUAGGGCGCAAAGUUAGUGGUUGUAGACGCGAAACCUUGCGAUCUACCCAUGAGCAGGAUGAAAGUUGGGUAAAACCACCUGGAGGUCCGCACCGGUAAACGUUGAAAAGUUUUCGGAUGACUUGUGGGUAGGGGUGAAAGGCUAAUCAAGCUGGGAAAUAGCUCGUACUCCCCGAAAUGCUUUUAGGAGCAGCGUUGCAAUAGUAUACUGGAGGUAGAGCUACUGAUUGGAUGCGGGGGCUUCACCGCCUACCAAAUCCUGACAAACUCCGAAUGCCAGUAUUAUGUUUUGCAGCAGUGAGCCGCCGGGUGCUAAUGUCCGGCGACAAAAGAGGAACAACUCAGACCAUCAUCUAAGGCCCCGAAGAAUACACUAAGUUGAACUAACGAUGUGCGACUGCAGCGACAGCUAGGAUGUUAGCUUGGAAGCAGCUAUUCAUUUAAAGAGUGCGUAACAGCUCACUAGUCGAGCGGUUGUGCGUGGAUAAUAAACGGGCAUCAAGUGUAUCGCCGAAGCUAUGGACUCUACGGAGUGGUAGGGGAGCAUUCCAUCGACGUUGAAGCCGUGUCGUAAGGCAUGGUGGAGUUUAUGGAAAAGCAAAUGUAGGCAUAAGUAACGAUAAGGCGGGAGAGAAACCCGCCCACCGCAAGACCAAGGUUUCCUGAUCAACGCUAAUCGGAUCAGGGUUAGUCGGGUCCUAAGGGUAAGCCGUCAGGUGAUCUCGAUGGACAAUCGGUUAAUAUUCCGAUACCGAUGCAUACUGCGACGGAGGGACGGAGAAGCGUAAGCUGCGCCAACAUACGGAAUUGUUGGUUAAAGAGCGUAGGUAUAGGACGACGUUAAUAGCGACGUUUUGCUGAAACUCGACAGUACCGAGCGGCUACGGCCAAUCGGAUAGUGCACCCAAGCAAGCUUCCGAGAAAAACUUCUAAGCUUCAGUGUAUGUCGCCCGUACCGUAAACCGACACAGGUGGUCGAGGAGAGUAUCCUCAGGUGCUUGAGUGAAUCACGGAUAAGGAACUAGGCAAAUUGACCCCGUAACUUAGGGAUAAGGGGUCCCCACGUGAGUGGGGCGCAGCGAAAAGGUCCAGGCAACUGUUUAACAAAAACAUAGGGCUAUGCUAAUUCGAGAGAAGACGUAUAUGGCCUGACACCUGCCCGGUGCUGGAAGGUUAAGAGGGGAUGUUAGCGCAAGCGAAGCAUUGAAUCGAAGCCCCAGUAAACGGCGGCCGUAACUAUAACGGUCCUAAGGUAGCGAAAUUCCUUGUCGGGUAAGUUCCGACCUGCACGAAUGGUGUAAUGAUCUGGACACUGUCUCGUCCGUGAGCUCAGUGAAAUUGUAGUCCCGGUGAAGAUGCCGGGUACCCGCAACGGGACGAAAAGACCCCGUGAACCUUUACUGCAGCUUAACGCUGAAUUUGGGUGCAUGAUGUGUAGGAUAGGCAGGAGACUGCGAAGCGGUACGCCAGUAUCGUGGAGUCGCCGUUGAAAUACUGCCCUUUGUGUAUUUGAAUUCUAACCCUGUUCAGGGGACACCGUUUGGUGGGUAGUUUGACUGGGGU